UGUCGAUGGAGGUUGGCGGCUAUAUGUAACAUAGUAUUUACAUAAUUAGGUACUACUCUCUUCUAGAUUUUUCAACAUGAAGUACCAAAAAAUCAUUUUUCAAAUUCAUUUCUAUAUUGGUUUCGCAGGUUGUAUUGUAACCCCAAUAUUAUAGACUAGGGAGAGGGUUGAACGCGCUCAUAAACAUGUUUCUAAUUUCAGCUUCAUUCUGUAUGUAUUUGCCUGUCCCAAGUCAGGAGCAUGUAAUUUUUUGGUUGUCGUUUGUGGAUGUGUUACAUACUUGUUUUUCGUUUAUUUUUUUGUACAUAAAUUAGGCCGUUAGUUUCUCGUUUGAAUUGUUUUUCAUUUGUCAUUUUGUUCAGCUGACUAUGUGGUAUUGGUUUUGCUCAUUGUUGAAGGCCAUACGUCGACCUAUAGUUGUUAAUUUCUGUGUCAUUUGGUCUGUUGUGGACAUUUGCCUUAUUGGCAAUCUUACCACAUCUUUUUUUUUAUAUUCACCGCCUCUAUCUUUAUGUGCCGGUCCUAACUCAGCAUCCUGUAAUUCAGUCAGCUUCACUUGUUUUUAUAUUUGAUGUUUUGACCAAAAUUCAAGGUGUUGAUAAUAAACUCAUCAUAGAUAC
rnacentral:lncRNA from 1 species